rnacentral:rRNA from 1 species
ACUUGGAGAUGAACAACGAAUAAGUCGUAUAAAAUUCUAGAUAAAAAACUGAUAAUGACAACUAUUUAUCUAUUAGUCUUGACCAAAUUACGUGCCAGCAGUCGCGGCAAUACGCAGAAGACAAGCGUUAUUCAUCUUUAUUCGGUUUAAAGGGUACCUAGACGGGAAAUCAAGCCUAAAUAUGCAAGGGACUAAUAUCCUAGAGUUUUAUGGGAGAAGGUCGAAUAUCUGGAGUAGAGAUAGAAUAUUUUAAUACUAGAUAGACGGACAACGGCAUAGGCAACUUUCUAUGUAAAAACUGACGUUGAGGGACGAAGCCCUGGGUAGCGAGAAGGAUUAGAUACCCCAGUAGUCCAGGGAGACAAUGAUGAGUGCCAUAGGCUAGAUAAAUUAGUCUAUAAAUGAAAGUGCAAGCAUUCCACCUCGAGAGUAAAGCGGCAACGCCCAAAUUGAAACCAUUAGACCGUUUCUGAAACCAGUAGUGAAGUAUGUUAUUUAAUUCGAUGAUCCACGAAUAACCUUACCACGUUUUGAAUACUAUUCAAUUAAUACAAGCGCUGCACGGCUGUCUUUAGUUAAUGUCGUGAGACUUUGGUUAACUCCUUUAAUUAACGAAAACCCUUGUUUUAUUUAUAAAUAAAACUGUUCUC